rnacentral:rRNA from 1 species
CUUGCAAACUAAAGAUGGCGACCGGCGCACGGGUGAGUAACACGUAUCCAACCUGCCGAUAACUCGGGGAUAGCCUUUCGAAAGAAAGAUUAAUAUCCGAUAGUAUAUUAAAACCGCAUGGUUUUACUAUUAAAGAAUUUCGAUUAUCGAUGGGGAUGCGUUCCAUUAGUUUGUUGGCGGGGUAACGGCCCACCAAGACUACGAUGGAUAGGGGUUCUGAGAGGAAGGUCCCCCACAUUGGAACUGAGACACGGUCCAA